AUAAAACGCUGGCGGCAGGCCUUAGAGAGGAAAGUCGAACGGUAACAGGUCGGAGGAUGCUGACGAGUGGCGAACGGGUGAGUAAUACAUCGGAACGGGACGAGUAGUGGGCGAUAUCUACUCGAAAGAGUGGCGAAGACCGCAUGAGAUCUACGGAUGAAAGCAGGGGAUCGCAAGACCUUGUGCUACUAGAGCGGCCGAUGGCAGAUGAGGUAGUUGGUGGGAUAAAAGCUUACCAAGCCGACGAUCUGUAGCUGGUCUGAGAGGACGAUCAGCCACACUGGGACUCCGACACGGCCAGGUCUCCUACGGGAGGCACCAGUGGGGAUUUUUGGACAAUGGGUGAAAGCCUGAUCUCGUCCAGCCGCGUGCUGCAUGAAGGCCUUAGGGUUGUAAACUGCUUUUGUACGGACCGACUAGCCCCGGGUUAAUACCCUGGGCUCCGCCCGGUACCGUAAGCAUAAGCACCUGCUAACUACGUGAAAGCCGCCGCAGUAA
rnacentral:rRNA from 1 species